CUCUAUCUCUCUCUUUUUUUUUUUAAUAUUUAUUCUCAGAAUAUUUUUUAAUGAUUCAGUGCCUUCAAUUUCAAAUGUAGUUGGAGAACUUCCAUUUUAUUGAGAUCUGGUGGACCUUUUAUGUAUUAUUGGCAAUUUGCAUAAAUUUAUUGCUUUAUCUGCAAUUCCUGCAUCUAGGAUCCGAGAUCCUUGAAUUUUUUGACCAUUGUCCUGUGUGCUUCUAUGCAUUUAUGUUCAAGGUUUAUUUGUUAAGAUUUUUAGUAGUGCAAGAUCUUAUGCUGAGAUCUUUUAUUCUAGG
rnacentral:misc_RNA from 1 species